rnacentral:rRNA from 1 species
GAGUUUGAUCUUGGCUCAGAUUGAACGCUGGCGGCAGGCCUAACACAUGCAAGUCGAGCGGAUGACGGGAGCUUGCUCCUUGAUUCAGCGGCGGACGGGUGAGUAAUGCCUAGGAAUCUGCCUGGUAGUGGGGGACAACGUUUCGAAAGGAACGCUAAUACCGCAUACGUCCUACGGGAGAAAGCAGGGGACCUUCGGGCCUUGCGCUAUCAGAUGAGCCUAGGUCGGAUUAGCUAGUUGGUGGGGUAAUGGCUCACCAAGGCGACGAUCCGUAACUGGUCUGAGAGGAUGAUCAGUCACACUGGAACUGAGACACGGUCCAGACUCCUACGGGAGGCAGCAGUGGGGAAUAUUGGACAAUGGGCGAAAGCCUGAUCCAGCCAUGCCGCGUGUGUGAAGAAGGUCUUCGGAUUGUAAAGCACUUUAAGUUGGGAGGAAGGGCAGUAAGUUAAUACCUACGCUGUUUUGACGUUACCGACAGAAUAAGCACCGGCUAACUCUGUGCCAGCCGCCGACCG